UACAGAGGGGGCAAGCGUUGUUCGGAAUUACUGGGCGUAAAGGGCGCGUAGGCGGCCCUCUAAGUCAGACGUGAAAUCCCUCGGCUCAACCGGGGAACUGCGUCUGAGACUGGAAGGCUUGAAUUCGGGAGAGGGGAUGCAGAAUUCCAGGUGUAGCGGUGAAAUUCGUAGAUAUUCGGAAGAACACCAGUGGCGAAGGCGACUCGCUGGACAAGUAUUGACGCUGAGGUGCGAAAGCGUGGGGAGCAAACAGG
rnacentral:rRNA from 1 species